rnacentral:rRNA from 1 species
UACGAAGGGGGCUAGCGUUGCUCGGAAUCACUGGGCGUAAAGGGCGCGUAGGCGGAUCUUUAAGUCGGGGGUGAAAGCCCAGGGCUCAACCCUGGAAUUGCCUUCGAUACUGAAGAUCUCGAGACCGGAAGAGGUAAGUGGAACUGUGAGUGUAGAGGUGAAAUUCGUUGAUAUUCGCAAGAACACCAGUGGCGAAGGCGGCUUACUGGUCCGGUUCUGACGCUGAUGCGCGAAAGCGUGGGUAGCAAACAGG